UACGGGGGGGGGCAAGCGUUGUUCGGAAUUACUGGGCGUAAAGGGCUCGUAGGUGGCCAACUAAGUCAGACGUGAAAUCCCCGGGCUCAACCCGGGAACUGCGUCCGAUACUGGCAGGCUUGAAUCCGGGAGAGGGAUGUGGAAUCCAGGUGUAGCGGUGAAAUGCGUAGAUAUCUGGAGGAACACCGGUGGCGAAGGCGACUCACUGGACGACUGUUGACGCUGAGGUGCGAAAGCGUGGGGAGCAAACAGG
rnacentral:rRNA from 1 species